rnacentral:misc_RNA from 1 species
AUUUUGUGAAUAUUACAAAAAAAGACUUUGGGAGCCAUAAACUAAAUCAAGAACAAAUGGGGACACAAUUGCUUCACCUUCCACCUGCAUUCUUCCUUCCUUUCACUAAAUAAAAGCUCCUUCUUUUACCCUGCACCUCCAAAUUUUUUUAUGAUCAACCAAUCCUUAUUGUCGUUGUGGUGUAUAAAUAAAUUUCUCAACUCUAAUUUUUAUAAUAGUUGAUUCAUAAAAAGUAACUUCACAUUCAAGCAAUUACGAGCAACUGAAGAAUGACUAAUGUCAUUUCGCUUGCAUUCAGAAUACAAUUGGGAUAUUGGUUUUAUUCAACACCGAUAUUUCGCCUAUAAGGACCACAAGCAGACCAAAAGAAGGGGCUCCAAUCAAAGCCUAUGACUGAGCGGCUAAAUUCUAAUCCUUCACCAAGGGAUUCCAAUUAUGCACACAAUUAAUUAUUGGUACAAGAUAAACACCAAUGGAAGAAGCACCAUUCCAGCACUACAGCAAACCCAGACUUCCAUAAAUAAACAAACCAAAGGCACGGACAGCCGUAGACUAAUCUACAAUGCACACAAGACAGGACCACACUGUUAACCAUAUACAGAUUUAUGAGACAACUACGCAAUUCAUGAGACCACAAUAAAUAAACAAGUUCUAAACAUAUUUAUCCACAUUCUGCAUAGCAUAAAAUAUGUUCAGCCAGAAUUCCGUCCACUACUAAAAGGUCUGAAUUGCUCAUCAUCCUGAGCAAUUUUUAGAGAAUCCAUAAAAAGCCUGAACAUUUAACGAGUUGCAUCCACAUAAUUAUAACUACAUUUAUUUCUGAUAUCCAUUAGUAUAUCGACCCUGAGAUUAGGAGUAUCGUAUUAAGCUUUCUCCCCAGUAAGCAGAUCCAUCACUACACGCUUGAUACUCCCAUUGUUCUUCUUCAGCAGCUUCCUGUUCAUUUCCUUGUUAGAAAAGCCCAUCUCCUGCAACUCAUCAAGAAUUGGAUCCCAAUCAGAAACACCACAGAGAUCAUCCACUGACUGUUCCAAGUUGUACUCAUUCAUCCUCAAGAUCUCCUUGUUCAAAUCAAUCUGCUUAAAGCCCAUCUCCUCAAGUUCCUUAAGAAGAGACAUCUCAACAGCAUCAUUUACAAUGACCUCCUCAGAUGAAGCUGGGACAUCCAUAGCAGGAAGGGCUUCUGUGGGUCCAACAGGGGCUACUUCAGACAAGUCUAUAAUAGGAUAUGACACAGAAGAGGGGACCUGAUUAGGAGCAGGUGUGGAAACACCAUCACCAACUAACAAUGUAUCAUUUAUAGGGAAAUUCAGCUCCUGGUCCUUCUUAGUCUGCCCAACAUCAACCAUGGGCACUGGAACUGAGGUAGAAUUGCAAGGCUCCAGAAAACUACUAUCCAUUGCAGGCUGCAGAUUCACAUCUAUUAUUUGAGGGCUUUUGGAGCCAGCACAGUCAGGGGGUAAAUUCAAGUUCAAACCUCUAACUCCAUUAACCGAGUCUUUCAUGGAAUUGUCAACCUGGAUAAGAACCCAAACACGUUGACCAAAUUUUGUGCCUGAUGGGGAUGCCAUCCUCCAGUAUGAAAUAUAUCGACCAGGUAAUUCAGGAGAAGUAAAAUCAACUGCAAUGUCAAGUUCCCCAUCCACAGGCACACCAUCAGCAGGAAUCUCCAACUCAACAGAAUCUGCAUGGCUGAAUCUGUCUCCCCCAAUCCACACAAGCUGUACUCCCUGAGGCCACACAAUGCUGCCACUAUUACGCAUCCGCCAAAUCUUGGUAAAUGGAGUGGAUGGAGCCAUCAUCGUGCCAUCCAAUAAAUUCACAUCCAAAAUGAAGCGGCUGUCCAACUUGGCUCGAACUGGCUUUAUUCCACAAUGUCUCGUGACAGGUGAUGGUGAUGGGGGCCCAACCCAGUAAUUCUGUGCCUUUUUAGGAGAGAGAAAAGGAAACGAAAACAAGUCAGUAAAAAUUAAAUCAAAGGACUAUAUUAGCCACACAGACAUGAAACUAAAGGUGAGAAGUCUAGAUACAGGAUCAUGUAACCCCCUGAAUGACCGUGGAUGUCGAUAAAACGCUGGCCUGUCCAUCUUUACGUAAUCAGCUUCAUUACCCAUUUCUGCAAAGCAGAUGCUGCAAAGAUCAUAAUCCUCUCUUACUUUGGACUUGUACCGAGGUCCAGUAAUGGGAUGAACCCCACAACCAUCACACUGAACACCUCUAUGGAACAUGCCAACCAUGGCAUCAUUGCGACCAUUGCUCCUCCUAGAUGAACUAAUUCGAUGCAGUGUAAAGGGAGGAACAGAUGAGUCAUUUACCACAGGCAUUCCACUAAAUGGACAUUCAUUACCAAGUGACCUUGCUAAAGCUGAAUGAGUAGAGCUAGAGGAUGCACCAAUAGCAACAGAUUUGUCACUUGGCUGACCAGCAUUCUGUUUCUUAGUUUCUUUCUUGUCAUCAAGAUGAGGUGUUGGUGCAGAGAUUGCAUUUGCACAUCCAGAUGGAUUGGAAUCACAAGGAGGAUCCAGAUUCAAAUCAACAGGAGCAGGCACACCCACAGUUCUAGUCACAUUUGCAAUCCUCACCUCUCGGCUAGGUUCAUCAUUGGUAGCACUUGCCUCACCAGGCACUACUGAAGCCAUUGGGUGUUCUGUAGCCCCUGUUUGGUUGCUUGAACUUGCGCCAGCUUGAAACUGCUGAGGUGGAUUUAGGAUGGUUUGUCCCAUUUUUGACAAGCAGUCAACAAUCUCAGCGCAGACAGGAUUGGGAGCAACUAUUUUUGAAGUCAAGUCAAGGGAUAUUUUUGAAAGCAAGUCACACAAAGCCUCACGUAAUGGCUCAGGCACAGAUUUCAGCAUAUCAGCGGCACCAAUGUUGAUGUUUGGCAAUGGGCACUGGACUCGAGGAGAUCUCUUGGGGGUAGAACUACCACUGGAUUUAGCAUAAGAUUUACCAUAUUUAUCAUUGUUGAGCUGUACAUUAACCCUCAAGAAUUUCAGGCUUUGUUUCAUCACAUCAAGCAGAUCAUCAUCAUCAACAAGUGUAACAACAUCACCAUCUUCAUCAACAUAAGUCAGAGUAAGAUCAGCAUCAAGAGGGAAAUUUAAGAGACCAAUGAUUUUUGCCCUUAGUCCAUUCAUGUCGAGAUCAAGCUGUCCAUUCUCAUCAAUACGAGCAUUGAAACGCCUAAGUGUAUCACCAUAGCUAACCUUGAUCACCAGAGUAGACUCCAUAGGUUAUUGAGAAAGGCGCGUUCCAGUGAGCCGCGCAAAAUCCAAAGGAGAAAACCCAAACCCUAACUGGUAGCGCUUGAUAAAAGGAGGUAGAAAUGAAUGAUUCAAAAGACAAACAAUGGGAUCGGAGAGAGAUUGAUUUGGGAAGAGGCCUAAUUCUCAAGCGUACCUGUAAGCCGCUUUUUGCGUGAAAACGAGUUGG